AGUUGCUAACUUCCGGCUGUUAUGGAGGUGACAAAGCCACUCAGCAAUCGUAUGUUAUUCUGUCUUCCACGUCAGAAUAUCUUGCUGACUUACAGAACAGAGAGUCAUUGCUAGAAAGAGCGAUAGCUUUCUUCAGAUCAUCACAAGCGGUUUUGACCAAACUGGAUCAACUAGAAAUCCAACUCAAAACCACAGAACUGCCAAAAACAUCACCGAAACUUGCCGAACUGCACGCACACUGCGCAAGAACGAUAGAAGAAGCUACCUCAGCUCCAAUAGAAGAAGGUUAUUCCAUAAUAAAUCUAGCAGGCCUUUCUGGUGGAACUGAAGGAGUCAAGAAAAUGGUGGA